UUGUAGCUCUGAUCAUUGUAAUGCCU
rnacentral:piRNA from 1 species